UGUUAAAAAUUUUAUCAAUUUAUACUACUAAAAAUUGGUAUGGCUAAUGGAAUAACCAAAUAGUGACAUGUGACGUGUGACGUGCAACGUGUACCUUAUGCUAAUGUACAGGGACGAGUUUUUAACAAUAGAAAUGAAUGAAAUUUUUAACA
rfam:Gossypium hirsutum cultivar TM-1 chromosome 4, whole genome shotgun sequence